GCUCGUGGUUCCUUUUUCCUAUGCAUAUACUUCUUUGAGAAUAAAAUCUAAAGAGGCGUAGGGCAUGGGAAAAUGGGGCCACGGAGCU
rnacentral:pre_miRNA from 1 species